CUUAACCGACUGCGCCACCCAGGCGCCCCUUUGCUUGAUUUACUAUUAAUGAGAGAAUGAAAUGGGAUAAUGAAUUUAAAAUGUCUGAUAGUGCCUGGCACUUGGUUAGCUCCUAACAAACAGUAAUUGUUGCUUAUAAUUCUGAAAUCAUGUAUCUGUUCGUGACAAGGAGCAGGCCCAAGGGGACUAAACCAGAGGAAGAUUAAGAAGUAAAUCCUAGCAGUAAUAAUGUUGUGAUAAGCAGCUUGCCCGUGACAAGCUUGUACAUUGUUGGUAAUUGAGGAUUAUCUAUAAGACCUGUGGGUUAUAUCCGACCAUAUGACGAUACUGGAAUGCUAGCGCUUCAAGAAAAUUCUAGAGGAAACCCCUGUGGAACUGUAAGCAUUUUUGAGAAAGAACUCCUUACAGCGGCUGGAGGAUGUGAGCCGUGGAGCCCUUUCCCUCCCUCCGCAGGAAAUCAGCGCUUGGGGACUUCUCUGAGGGUUUCCUUGUUGUUGGGGCCGAGAGGGCGCUUCCACUCCCUCAGGGAAUUUCUUGUUUCUGCAGGACAGGGUUACCUAAUCCUUAAAUCUGCUGCUCCUUGUUCAGCCCACUUCAUUCUUUUGGCUCUUUUCUCAGAGUCCCUGUAGGUUUUAUCGAUGAAUCUGGAUGGAAGAUAGGUUGGUAAAACCCAUUUGGUCUGGAAUACAUGGCGGCUAGGCUGCUAGGGGUGAGCGCUGGGGUUUUCAGGCGUGUGUGGCUGUCAACCCAGCCAAGAAUUGCACAGUAAAACGGACUCACUGGUCAGAAGGAUUUAUCAUACAGACAAAAGCCUAAGAAAUUGACGGGUCCGUAGUGUUUGUAUUUUGUCUUUAUGUUGUUGUGAUGGAUAAUUCACGAUGGAUAAUUUUCUUCUUGACUUUCUGGGAAUCUGUCAACUUAAAGGAACUCAUAGGAAUUUAAAGUAAAUCUUUAUGCUCUGUGUGCCCCCACCCCUCACCGUUCCCCCGUCCCUGCCCACCCCCGGGCAAACACUGACCUGUUCUUGUCAGUGUCUUGUCUUUUUGAGACUGUCCUAUAAAUGGGACCAUCCAGUAUAUAACUUUUUCAGACUGGCAUUUUCACUGAGUCUGACACCUUUGAGGUCCAUCCAAGCAUCGUAUAUAACGAUAGUUCAUUCCUUUUCAUUGCUCAGUAGUAUUCUGUUGUAUGGAUAUACUGUAAUUUGUGCAUUCAUUCAUUUGUUGAGGGACAUUUGGGUUGUUUCCUGUUAUGGAUGAUUAUGAAUAGAACUGUUAUAAACUUUGUGUACAGUUUUUGUAGGAACAUAAAUUUUCAGUUUUCUUAGCAUAUUAGUUUCCUGUGACCGCUGUAACAAAUUGCCACAAACUGGGUGGCUUAAAACAACGGAAAUUUCUUGUCGACUGUUCUGGAAGCCAGAAGUCUGAAAUUGGUAUCGCCUGGCCCGAGUCAUGGUGUCAACAGGGCCUCACUCGCUCUAGAGGCCCCGGGGAAGAACCCCUUUUUUGCCUUUUCCGGCUUCUGGAGGCCACCGGCAUUCCUUGGCCUGUGACCCCCUCCUCAUGUCCCUCUAAACCCUCACUUCCAUUGUUACUCUCCUCCUCUCUUUAUGCCGUCAGAUCUCCCUUAGCCUCCCUUUUAUAAGGACCCUUGUGAUUACAUUUAGGGCCCAUCGGGAUGAUUCAGGAGAAUCCCCCCAGCUCAAGAUCCUUAGUUUAGUCACAUCUUCAAACACCAUUUUUUUGCCACGUAAAAUAAUCCAGGUUCCUGUGAGUAUGUUGUAUGUAUCUUUUAGAGGACCUUUUUCUCAGCCUACCACAUGCAGGCAAGGACUAGGCCUGGGUAUUAUAGGGUCACAUGGUAAGUGUAUAUUUCAUUUUACUAGAAACUGCAAAACAGUUUUGCAGAGUGGCCCUUGUUUUACAUCCCUACCAGGAUCCUCAUGUGCUAGAAUUCCUGGCAUCCUCACUAGAACUUGGUAUUAUCAGUAUUUUUUUUAUUGUAGCCAUUCUAGUGGGUAUCUCAUUAUGGUUUUAUUUAUUUAUUUUUUAAUGUUUAUUUUUGAGACAGAGAGAGACAGACCGCGAGCGGGGGAGGAUCAGAGAGACAGGGAGACACAGAGUCCGAAACAGGCUCCAGGCUCUGAGCCGUCAGCACAGAGCCCGACGUGGGGCUCGAACUCACAGACUGUGAGAUCAUGUCCUGAGCCGAAGUCGGAAGCUCAACUGACUGAGACACCCAGGCGCCCCUCUCAUUAUGGUUUUAAUUUGCCUGUCCCUGAUGGCUACUGAUGUUGACCAUCUUUUCAUGUGAAGACUUCAUACUUUUUAAUUUUCCUUUUUCACUGCCUUUGUAAGUUUGAAGAAGAAGAGAGUGGGCCGAAGCAGCUGAAGGAAGGAAGAGCAUUACUGUCUCGGAGCAGAAGCUUGCCAAGCAGCUUCUGGACACCUCCCCAACAGAGCCACCCGGGUGCUCCUUUUGAACUAGAUUUUAUGCAGUAACCAUUGGCUUUCUCUCGAAGCAGUGGUUUAUAGUAAUUAAUUGUGCUACAUUCUUCCUUGGUCCUCGACUCAGUCCAGCACAGGAACUCCUGCUGCUCGAGCUCUUACCAAGUUGUGAAGGGGGUUUAGUAGAUCUGAGGAUCAAACCCUCAGGUCAGAAAGGCGGGGCAGAGUAGAAUAAAUGAGCGGAGGCAAAAUACAGGACGUAUCUUUAGAGUAUUUGUUAUUUUUUUAAAAAUGUUUUUAAAUGUUUUAUUUAUUCUUGAGAGACAGAGAGACGGAGGGUGAGCGGGGGAGGGGCAGAGAGAGGGGGAGACACAGAAUCCAAAGCAGGCUCCAGGCUCCAAGCUGUCAGCACAGAGCCCGACGCGGGGCUUGAACCCACAGACUGUGAGAUCAUGACCUGAGCUGAAGUUGGACGCUUAACCAACUGAGCCACCCAGGUGCCCCUAGAGUAUUUGCGCCCCAGAUUGUGCUGCUUUUAAUAGACACUUGGGCACUGGGUGCUGUAGGGACGUGUCGAAUCACUAUAUUGUACACCUGGAACCAAUAUAAUACUGUAUGUUAACUAUACUGUGAUUAAAAACAAUUAAAAAUAAAAUGACCCUUUUCCAUAAAAAAAAAACAACAACGAACAUUUGGGGUUGAAUAUUUGAAUAUAAAUAAAUAGUACCCAGUUUCAGUCUCUGGACAUUGAAAAGCCCAAUAUUUAAAAUAGUCACAGCUCAAAAACAGGAUUACAUGGCAUUUCCUCGCUCACCUAGGAGGAUCCGCCUCCUCCACAAAGACUGUGGGGCUUUACCUUUCUGAUGUGCUACGUGGCUGUUAGUGGUGUGAGUUUAGAGUGUGUUGACUUGAUCCAACAUUUACCGUUCAUAAGUUGUUGCUUCUAGCUCUGGUGCUGAUACUUCAAGCCAUGUGAUCUUGGAGAAGGCACUUAGCUGAAGGGAUGCCACCGAGUCUGGUGUCUCCAGCUCUCAGAUGGCGCCGGGGGAGCCCUCCGCUCCUUCCCGGGGCGGCGGGAGGCCGAGAUGAGCUGGUGUCUGUGCAGGAGCUUAGGAAACUGUAAGAUGCUUCAUGAAUGUAUAUGAUGAUGAUUAUGAUUUCAGGAAAUCGUCCCCUGGUCUUUGUAAUGUGAGAUACCAGAUCUCUGUUUGAAUGCUAGUGCUUGUGGAGGAUUUUCUCAGUUACUUAAAAAAAAUAUAUUGCCACGUAAAUUUGAAUACUUAGAGGCUGGCUGGCAAAGGCUGUUUCAUUACUGACUUUUCAACUGAUUUCUUCCAGAUCUUGACACUUGAAGAGUAGGCAUAACUUAAAGAGGGGGACUACUCCUGCCCAUAACAUGUGCCUUUUUCUUUUAAGCUACUCUUUUGGUGGCACUGGGGUGAUUGGGGAGGCAGGGAGUGUUGAUAGAAUAGGGAAGAGGCUUCAACCUUUGUUGGAACAGGUUCAUAAACAGGCAAGAGACGCCUGGGUGGGGCUCAGUGGGCUAAGUGUCCGACUCUUGGUUUUGGUCCGGGUUAUGAUCUCAGCAGUUGUGAGAUCGAGCCCCGCGUCGGGUUCUGUGCUAGGCAUGGAGCCUGCUUGAGAUUCUCUCUCUCCUGCUGUCCCUCUGCCUUUCCCCUGCUUGCGUGCGAGGGAGCGCAUGUGCACGCUCUCAUUCAAAAAGAAAAAAAAAAAACAAA